UUGAAAAGGUAAACAUUGAUUACUUUUUCAUAAAACAAACCCAAAUGCAUGCUUGUUGAUGAAGGGCAGCCUGGAGAUGAAGAUAUGCCACUGGGGUGAUGGGCCAUACUCAAAGCCACAGCAUGAUACUCGGUCACAACUCACUCAGUCCUCACACAAACUGAUGCUGGAAGGAUUCAUCUCAGCCAUAUAUUGCGUGAUGGCAACCAGAUGAUUUAAAUGAAAUAGAACCAGCUACGUUCUGCAUUGGCAAUGGCUUCUUCAACAUGUAGUUACUCAUGCUUAUGCUUUUACUAGUACAGAGGUUGGACUAGAAUGAACCACUUUCUUACUUCUCCAGUGACACUGGGUGCUUCCUACAGUGUUAUAACAAGAGGCUCCUGAGACCUCACGGUCCUACCUCCCGCAAGGUGUUUGAACAGUGGGUUCUAAUGUUGUCAACCUGAUUCUGCAUUCUAAAGUUGACCUUUAACUUUUCACUAAAUGGAGCCCAAAGAUGAACACAAAAGAGGAGCCCAGCAUAAGAAGCGUCGGGGAGCACAUGUUCACUUCAGCACUGCUGGUCUCGUUGACCAGGGAGCACCCCCAGAGAAAGGCUGCAACCCCCAGAGUGACCUGUGUACAUACCUGUCUUCACAGCUGGAAAGAACUUAAUGCGUCUAUGUAAACUGAUUAAGAAUUACAAAUCACAACGAUGAAACCAUCAAUGAGAUUCCUUUAAUAAGUUCCACAUAUAUUUUCGAGGCCAUAUAUUGUUUUUCUCAUAAAUGUAAGCAUGCAAGCAUUUAAGAUACAUUUUGAAGUAAGUCACACAUUCAUGAUUUUAAAAAAUGAAUACAAUGUAAGUUUAUCUUGAUUCAAGAACACACUCACAAACACAUAUAUUUCACCAUUAACUAUCUUUAGAUUGUACCAGUUGAAACAAAAGGCCAACCCAAGAGGUUUUGAAAAUGCUGUAGUAGUAACUUAACAUCAGGAAGCUGGGAAUAUGGGAAUCCAAUCUGCUGCACAUCUGUCUGGGAUAAAAGAUGAGCAGACCACUAUUAGCUACCAUUUAUUGACCAUAUGCUCCAUGCCAUACUGUUUAUAUCCAUGAUCUCUCUUAAUCCUCAUGACACUCCUGAGAGGAAAACGGUGUUGUCCUCAAAUGCUGAGGCUUAGAGAAUCUCAAUGACUUUCUCAAUUUCACAUUCUAUUAAGUGGCAGAACCCAGGAAAGUCGGACUCCAGCGUUCUUGCUCUUCAUGAUACAUUAAACUAGUGGUGAUGAGGAAAAC
rnacentral:lncRNA from 1 species